CACAGCUUCCUUGCAGCUUCUCCUUUGCCGGUCCACACGCGCCACCAGUUAGCCAUGGAUGACGUUAUCGCUGCGCUCGUCAUCGACAAAGGCUCCGGCAUGUGCAAAGCCGGCUUCGCGGGUGACAAUGCUCCCCGGGCUGUAUUCCCCUCCAUCGUGGGCCGCCCUAGGCACCAGGGUGUGAUGGUGGGUAUGGGUCAGAAGGACUCCUACGUGGGCGACGAGGCCCAGAGCAAGAGAGGUAUCCUGACCCUGAAGUACCCCAUUGAACAUGGCAUUGUCACCAACUGGGACGAAAUGGAGAAAAUCUGGCACCACACCUUCUACAAUGAGCUGCGUGUGGCCCCUGAGGAGCACCCUGUGCUGCUCUCUGAGGCCCCCCUGAAUCCUAAGGCCAACCGUGAAAAGAUGACCCAGAUCAUGUUUGAGACCUUCAACACUCCAGCAUUGUACGUAGCCAUCCAGGCUGUGCUGUCCCUGUAUGCCUCUGGUCGUACCACUGGCAUUGUGAUGGACUGUGCCCAUCUACGAGGGCUAUGCUCUCCCUCACGCCAUCCUGUGUCUGGACCUGGCUGGCCGGGACCUGACAGACUACCUCAUGAAGAUCCUGACUGAGAGUGGCUACAGCUUCACCACCACAGCUGAGAGGGAAAUCGUGCGUGACAUCAAAGAGAAGCUGUGCUAUGUUGCCCUAGACUUCGAGCAAGAGAUGGCCACUGCCGCAUCCUCCUCUUUCCUGGAGAAGAGCUAUGAGCUGCCUGAUGGCCAGGUUAUCACUAUUGGCAAUGAGCGGUUCCGAUGCCCUGAGGCUCUUUUCCAGCCUUACUUCUUGGGUAUGGAAUCCUGUGGCAUCCAUGAAACUACAUUCAAUUCCAUCGUGAAGUGUAACGUUGACAUCCCUAAAGAUCUCUCCAAUGAGUAUAUUAGAGACAUAAGAACGCCUCAAAUAAAUAAUGCUUUUGAUCGAGUUGGAUUUCUGAGGAUGGAAUCUUUCUACCUUACUAAAGAACAGGAUGUGGAAACAGUUUUUCUUCUCAUCAAGUUUGUACGUACUUAUUAUACCAUCUAUCAAGUGUGA